rnacentral:rRNA from 1 species
GUGGGGAAUAUUGGUCAAUGGGCGCAAGCCUGAACCAGCCAAGCCGCGUGCAGGAUGACGGCCCUAUGGGUUGUAAACUGCUUUUGUACGGAAAGAAACCCCCGACGUGUCGGGGACUGACGGUACCGUGCGAAUAAGCAUCGGCUAACUCCGUGCCAGCAGCCGCGGUAAUACGGAGGAUGCGAGCGUUAUCCGGAUUCAUUAGGUAUAAAGGGUGCGUAGGCGGGUUUGUAAGUCAGUGGUGAAAUACUGCAGCUUAACUGUAGAAUUGCCAUUGAUACUGCAAGUCUUGAGUACAAUUGAGGUAGGCGGAAUGUGUGGUGUAGCGGUGAAAUGCUUAGAUAUCACACAGAACACCGAUUGCGAAGGCAGCUUACUAAACUGUAACUGACGCUGAGGCACGAAAGCAUGGGGAGCAAACAGGAUUAGAUACCCUUGUAGUCC